GUCUAUGGCCAUGCCAUCCAUAACGUGCCCAAUCUCAUUUGACCUCAGAAGCUAAGCAGGGUCGGGACUGUUUAGUACUUGGAUGGGAGACCACCUAGGAAGACCAGGUGAUGCAGACA
rnacentral:rRNA from 1 species